UCAGCCAAAAUUAUAUACAAGAAAGUAAUUACAGUAAUAACAACCAUGCAGCUUUCAGAACUGCAUUCAUCAAGUGUUUUCCUUUAGAGUGUCUAUAUUUGUAAAUAUGCAAAUCAUUGAUUCGCAUUCAUACCAGAACAGCUCAAGUUUCUUUGUUCAGAAGGGCUGGAGGCAGUGUAAUACCAUGCCAUCAGCUAGUACAUUUGGAUCUAACAGUAACAGGUUAAGUAAUUAAAACGCAGUGGCCAUGGAAGUAUGGUUUGCUAGUGGAUUAUUGACAGCAGCAGGGGAAAAUUUGACUUUCUUUAUUCACUUCAGCCUACUUUGUCUCUUUUAUUUUUGGUUGAUUUGUAAAUAGUGAUUAACUCAUUGAUGACGAG